CUACGGGCUGCAGCAGUGAGGAAUAUUGCACAAUGGGGGGAACCCUGAUGCAGCAACGCCGCGUGGAGGAUGACGCAUUUCGGUGUGUAAACUCCUUUUAUAUGUCAAGAAAAUGACGGUAGUAUAUGAAUAAGCACCGGCUAACUCCGUGCCAGCAGCCGCGGUAAUACGGAGGGUGCAAGCGUUACUCGGAAUCACUGGGCGUAAAGGACGCGUAGGCGGGUUGGAAAGUCAGGUGUGAAAUCCUACAGCUUAACUGUAGAACUGCACUUGAAACUUCUAAUCUAGAGUAUGGGAGGGGGAGAUGGAAUUAGUGGUGUAGGGGUAAUAUCCGUAGAUAUCACUAGGAAUACCUAAAGCGAAGGCGAUCUCCUGGAACAUUACUGACGCUAAGGCGUGAAAGCGUGGGGAGCAAACAGGAUUAGAUACCCGCGUAGUC
rnacentral:rRNA from 1 species